rnacentral:misc_RNA from 1 species
CCCAGUUCGGCAGCGGCAAGG